GCGGGUAUCGUAUACGGCUAUUACCCUCAGCCUUCCAAGCUGAUGAUGCGGGUUCGACCCGCCACCCGCC
rnacentral:tRNA from 1 species